rnacentral:rRNA from 1 species
CUUGCUUCUCUUGAGAGCGGCGGACGGGUGAGUAAUGCCUAGGAAUCUGCCUGGUAGUGGGGGAUAACGUCCGGAAACGGACGCUAAUACCGCAUACGUCCUACGGGAGAAAGCAGGGGACCUUCGGGCCUUGCGCUAUCAGAUGAGCCUAGGUCGGAUUAGCUAGUUGGUGGGGUAAUGGCUCACCAAGGCGACGAUCCGUAACUGGUCUGAGAGGAUGAUCAGUCACACUGGAACUGAGACACGGUCCAGACUCCUACGGGAGGCAGCAGUGGGGAAUAUUGGACAAUGGGCGAAAGCCUGAUCCAGCCAUGCCGCGUGUGUGAAGAAGGUCUUCGGAUUGUAAAGCACUUUAAGUUGGGAGGAAGGGCAGUAAAUUAAUACUUUGCUGUUUUGACGUUACCGACAGAAUAAGCACCGGCUAACUCUGUGCCAGCAGCCGCGGUAAUACAGAGGGUGCAAGCGUUAAUCGGAAUUACUGGGCGUAAAAGCGCGCGUAGGUGGUUCGUUAAUUUGGAUGUGAAAAUCCCCGGGC